rnacentral:rRNA from 1 species
ACGCACGCUGGCGGCGUGCUUAACCCCUGCCAGUCGAACGGAAAGGCCCCUUUGGGGGUACUCGAGUGGCGAACGGGUGAGUAACACGUGAGUAACCUGCCCUUGACUUCGGGAUAACUUCAGGAAACUGGGGCUAAUACCGGAUAGGAAUCCUUGCUGCAUGGUGGGGGUUGGAAAGCUUCGGCGGUUUUGGAUGGACUCGCGGCUUAUCAGCUCGUUGGUGGGGUAGUGGCUUACCAAGGCUUUGACGGGUAGCCGGCCUGGGAGGGCGACCGGCCACAUUGGGACUGAGAUACGGCCCAGACUCCUACGGGAGGCAGCAGUGGGGAAUAUUGCACAAUGGGCGGAAGCCUGAUGCAGCAACGCCGCGUGCGGGAUGACGGCCUUCGGGUUGUAAACCGCUUUCAGCAGGGGCGAAGCUUGUGGUGACGGUACCUGCAGAAGAAGCACCGGCUAACUACGUG